ACUGGGCCUUGUGAGGCUUCGGCACAGGCGGGUUCCGGUCUCCCCCGUUCACGAUCGUGGUGCCUGUCCCCGUUCUGGUC
rnacentral:tRNA from 1 species